UGGUGGAUGCGUGGGGAAGCCAAGAAGGCCAGCUCCGUGGUGCUGAGAGCUCCGACGCCAUCCCUGAGGCCACGCAGGGGGACGCGAUGCUCUGGCCAUCAUCCUAGCAGACAGCUUGGGAGUGAGUCACUCCAGGUCUCUACAGAGUGACCACAAGCACAUAUACUACAAGGAACAACUUAGACCCGAUUCAAAUUCAUAAAGAGCCAUCAUUUUCUGAUUGGUGUAUCAUUUCUUGUGAGAAGUCUCAUUCCUCUUGGUAUAUUAUGCAUAUGCAUAGAAGUUUCUGGAAGGUAGACUUCAUCCCACCCUGAUGUGAUGGUGAGGAAUCAGUCAGGUGAGGUUAGUGGACUCUCUUGGAGCCAUGGCAUGGCCCCGGGUGAGAUUCUCAGCCCUGUUCAGGAGUCAUUCACUGGGUCUGUGUGGCAAGAACAACUCAUGCAGAGGGAGCAGCAGUGCCUGGUUUUUGCCAGGUAGGCAAGUGGGGAGAACCACAAGUAAUGACUGACCUUAAAGCAUUUUCACCCCCACUUUAGCUUGUUCAGGUGACUUUGACGGGUGGGAAGGGCAGCACACUCACACUGCACGUCAGUUUGGGAAUAGCAGUGUUCUUGUGAAGAGAAGGCCUUUGUGCAGCCCAAAGAGGUCUCACUGUGGAGCUCUGGCUGUCCUGGGGCUCCCUCGGUAGACCAAGCUGGCCUCAGACUCAGAGAGGAGCCUGCCUCUGCCUCCUGGGUGCUAGGAUUCACCACAGUCAGCUCAGGUGCCCUUUUAAAGCAUCCCCAACUAGGACAACUAAAGCCCGGGAUGCUUGUAACUUAUCUUCAAGUCACAGAGUGAAAGCUCUUGUUCCUUAAAGUGUAAUGCACUCUCCUCGCGCCUCCUGAGCAUGGCUCAGGAAGUGUGGCCUGUCAGUGCCUCCUGCCUUUGUCAGCGUGGGGAUUUCCCUGUUGGUAACAUCUGCCCCAUCCAACUGGAAAAAUGUUUGAGUCAGUUUAGCCUUACUGAUCCUGUGAUACUUUUCUUUUUAGUUAUGUGUGCAUGUGUUUGCCUGGAUGUGAGUUCAGGAGCCUGCUAGAACUAGAAGAGAGCCUCGGAUCCUCUGGAACUGGACUUACCGACAGCUGUGAGCCACCUAUUGGGGGUGCUAGGAAGUUAACUCAGUUCCUCUGCAAGAGCACUCUACUCUGAACUGCUGAGCCAUCUCUCCACCCCUCUCACGAUGGGCUCUUUUACUUAGGUUACAUGUGGGAAUGUAAAGGUUAGCAGGAGGGAAUGAGAAAGGACUAAAUUAUACAAAGUCUCCACACCUUUUCUCGUAGGCACAGUGCUGUGUGCUGGCGACUCCGUGGAGCAUGCUGUUGUGAGUAGGCGCGUUGCAGUUUGGAGUCAUUUCCUUUCUGUGAAGUGAGAUUUGCAGGUCUGCAGAACUCCCGGGUUUUCUGCUGACGACUCGCCUUGGAAAGCAAUAAGCGCUGAGCUGUUGUCCAUCAGCCACAGACUAGGCCUCAGGACCGAGUAACCAGGGGUUUCCAUCCCACCUGAGAUUGUUUAGUUCCAAAAUAACACAAAACAUAAACCUUAAAGCAUGGGGCUGGGCAGAAAUCAACCGCCUGUGCCAUUUUGUCUCUUUCCCUGUCAAUAAUUCCAAGAUAUGACUUACCAUGUUCUAUCUGGGCUGCCCCUAUUCCAACAGGCCAGCCCUCAUGGCCACGAGCUCACAAUCUACCUACCCCAUAGUGCCUUCUCACCCCCUCCCAGGCUUCUGCUUCAGACCCCAAGCCCUGGAACAGAAGCCCCGCCUACCUCUCUUCUGCCCAGCUAAGGGCUGUAGGCAUCGUUUUUUGUUUUUUUUGUUUUGUUUUUUUUUUUUUCCAACCAGUAGUUUUUAAUUAUGCAGCACCUUUUGGGCAGCAAAGUUAAAGCAAUCUCUCGCAUUUCAGCUGUGGAUAAAAUGCCUGGAGAAGACAGAAUCUCCCCAGUGAAGGGGGAUUUCGCAGUGGUUAUGCAGAGGAAUAAUGGGUUCUGCUGGCUGUGUGGGGGAAGCAGCCCCCCAAACUAUGACCUGUCUUCAACACAUUUUCUUCAAGCCCCCUGCUGUAUGGCAGUGGUUCUCAGUCUCUAGGUUAAGACUGCUUCGGGGUCAAAUAACCUUUCCAUAGGGGUUACUUAAGACCAUUGGAAAACAGAUAAAUAUCUGUUUCAUAACAAGAGCAAAAUUACAGUUAUGAAGUAGCAACAAAAAUAAUUUUAUGGUUGGGACUCACCAUAACAUGAGGAACUGUAUUAAGGGGUUACAGCAUUAGUCAGGUUGAGAACCACUGUGAGAUGGGUAAGGGAACUGAGAGGGACUCAGGGAUGGGGUUAGUGGGAUUUAUUACCUUUUCAGUAUGCUAAAAAUGAUAUUAUUGGUAGGGUUCAUGAAUGUAUACUGUUAUCAGGAGACAGUCUUUGGCAAACCAGAGAAAAAGAACUUCUUUUGAAGCAGAACUCUCCAUUUCGAAACAGCAGUCAGAAAGAAGUCGUCAUGCUUACGCCCAGAGCCAAGCCUCUGCACAGCUGUUCACAGGAACGACACAGAGGAUGCGCACAAAGAGCUGACCCAGCAGUGCACAAAACAGCGUGCCCAAGAUGUCUGCUGUCCCUCACGUGUUGUGUUUUGUUUUAUCGUCUUUGUGUUUUUAAGAUAGAGUUUCUGCGUAGCCUUGGCUGCCCUGGAAUUCAUAUCAGGCUGACCUCCAACUCAGAGAACUGCCUGCCUCCGCCUCCUGGGUGCUGGUAUUAAAAGUGUGAACCAUAGCUCACAAACUGCCUUCCAAGCUGUUGGUCUGAAGGUGACUAAGAGAGCACACACUGGGGCAAAAUAAGAUACACCACCACCACCAACAACAACAACAAAAUCGCAUCUCUUCCAUACCGCCCCAUGGAUUUUUUAUUUCAAGAAUGUGGAGUCUGUUACUAGAGUUAAGACUCUUCCCUCAGUGGGAUCUCCUCUGUUGAUUUUGGAAAUAGGAAAGAGAUUUUCUGUUCCUUUUCUGGUAAUGUCUACACUCUGGCUAGAAACAGACUUGCCCUAGCCCAAGUAUAUGAUAUAGGCAUGGAAUUUUAUUUAUCUCUACCCCAGUAAGAAUAAAAGAUUAGAAAAUGUUA